AAUAUUGGACAAUGGGCGAAAGCCUGAUCCAGCCAUGCCGCGUGUGUGAAGAAGGUCUUCGGAUUGUAAAGCACUUUAAGUGGGGAGGAAGGGGUCGAAGCUAAUACCUCCAAUCUUUGACGUUACCAACAGAAUAAUCACCGCCUAACCCCGUGCCAGCAGCCGCGGUAAUACAGACGGCGCAAGCGUUAAUCGGAAUUACUGGGCGUAAAGCGCGCGUAGGUUGUUCAGUAAGAUGGAAGUGAAAUCCCCGGGCUUAACCUGGGGACUGCUUUCAUAACUGCUGAGCUAGAGUACGGUAGAGGGUAGUGGAAUUUCCUGUGUAGCGGUGAAAUGCGUAGAUAUAGGAAGGAACAUCAGUGGCGAAGGCGACUACCUGGACUGAUACUGACACUGAGGUGCGAAAGCGUGGGGAGCAAACAGG
rnacentral:rRNA from 1 species